rnacentral:misc_RNA from 1 species
UUUAUUUUUAAUUAAAAAAUUUGGGUUUAUAGAGUUGGAUUUUAAAUACAAGAGGUAUAAAAAAUACCUCAAUUUUUUCUAAUGAUCCUUCCGCAGGUUCACCUACGGAAA